GCGGCAGCGCGGGAGCAAUCCUGGCGGCGAGCGGCGAACGGGUGAGUAAUGCUUCGGAAUCUGCCCAGUAGUGGGGAAUAACCAAUCGAAAGGUUGGCUAAUGCCGCAUACGACCUUAGGGUGAAAGCGGGGGAUCGCAAGACCUCGCGCUAUCGGAUGAGCCGAAGUCGGAUUAGCUAGUUGGUGAGGUAACGGCUCACCAAGGCGACAAUCCGUAGCUGGUCUGAGAGGACGACCAGCCACACUGGGACUGAGACACGGCCCAGACUCCUACGGGAGGCAGCAGUGGGGAAUAUUGGACAAUGGGGGCAACCCUGAUCCAGCGACGCCGCGUGUGUGAAGAAGGCCUGCGGGUUGUAAAGCACUUUUAGUGGGGACAAAAAGCUCAGGACUAACACUUCUGGGUCUUGAUUUAACCCAAAGAAAAAGCACCGGCUAACUCUGUGCCAGCAGCCGCGGUAAUACAGAGGGUGCGAGCGUUAAUCGGAAUUACUGGGCGUAAAGCGUGCGUAGACGGUUAUGUAAGUCGGAUGUGAAAGCCCCGGGCUCAACCUGGGAAAUUGCAUUCGAAACUGCAU
rnacentral:rRNA from 1 species